UGGGGAAUUUUGGACAAUGGGGGCAACCCUGAUCCAGCAAUGCCGCGUGUGUGAAGAAGGCCUUCGGGUUGUAAAGCACUUUUGUCCGGAAAGAAAUCCUCUGCCCUAAUACGGCGGGGGGAUGACGGUACCGGAAGAAUAAGCACCGGCUAACUACGUGCCAGCAGCCGCGGUAAUACGUAGGGUGCAAGCGUUAAUCGGAAUUACUGGGCGUAAAGCGUGCGCAGGCGGUUCGCUAAGACCGAUGUGAAAUCCCCGGGCUUAACCUGGGAACUGCAUUGGUGACUGGCGAGCUAGAGUGUGGCAGAGGGGGGUAGAAUUCCACGUGUAGCAGUGAAAUGCGUAGAGAUGUGGAGGAAUACCGAUGGCGAAGGCAGCCCCCUGGGCUAACACUGACGCUCAUGCACGAAAGCGUGGGGAGCAAACA
rnacentral:rRNA from 1 species